rnacentral:rRNA from 1 species
GGAUCCAGACUUUGAUCCUGGCUCAGGAUGAACGCUAGCUACAGGCUUAACACAUGCAAGUCGAGGGGAAACGACAUCGAAAGCUUGCUUUUGAUGGGCGUCGACCGGCGCACGGGUGAGUAACGCGUAUCCAACCUGCCCAUCACUUGGGGAUAACCUUGCGAAAGUAAGACUAAUACCCAAUGAUAUCUCUAGAAGACAUCUGAAAGAGAUUAAAGAUUUAUCGGUGAUGGAUGGGGAUGCGUCUGAUUAGCUUGUUGGCGGGGUAACGGCCCACCAAGGCAACGAUCAGUAGGGGUUCUGAGAGGAAGGUCCCCCACAUUGGAACUGAGACACGGUCCAAACUCCUACGGGAGGCAGCAGUGAGGAAUAUUGGUCAGUGGACGAGAGUCUGAACCAGCCAAGUAGCGUGCAGGAUGACGGCCCUGUGGGUUGUAAACUGCUUUUAUAAGGGAAUAAAGUGAGUCUCGUGAGACUUUUUGCAUGUACCUUAUGAAUAAGGACCGGCUAAUUCCGUGCCAGCAGCCGCGGUAAUACGGAAGGUCCGGGCGUUAUCCGGAUUUAUUGGGUUUAAAGGGAGCGUAGGCCGGAGAUUAAGCGUGUUGUGAAAUGUAGAUGCUCAACAUCUGAACCGCAGCGCGAACUGGUUUCCUUGAGUACGCACAAAGUGGGCGGAAUUCGUGGUGUAGCGGUGAAAUGCUUAGAUAUCACGAAGAACUCCGAUUGCGAAGGCAGCUCACUGGAGCGCAACUGACGCUGAAGCUCGAAAGUGCGGGUAUCGAACAGGAUUAGAUACCCUGGUAGUCCGCACGGUAAACGAUGGAUGCCCGCUGUUGGUCUGAAUAGGUCAGCGGCCAAGCGAAAGCAUUAAGCAUCCCACCUGGGGAGUACGCCGGCAACGGUGCAACUCAAAGGAAUUGACGG